CGACGUAGGUAACCUGCCUUGUAGCGGGGGAUAACUAUUGGAAACGAUAGCUAAUACCGCAUAACAAUGGAUGACCCAUGUCAUUUAUUUGAAAGGGGCAAAUGCUCCACUACAAGAUGGACCUGCGUUGUAUUAGCUAGUAGGUGAGGUAACGGCUCACCUAGGCGACGAUACAUAGCUGACCUGAGAGGGUGAUCGGCCACACUGGGACUGAGACACGGCCCAG
rnacentral:rRNA from 1 species